AGUAAACUGCGUUAGGAAAGAGUAUAAAACAUAAAUGUGAUCUAUUCCCACUAGGAUGUUUAAACAUUUGAACAGUAAGGUAUGAACAAAGGGCCACGUGGUGGAAGCUGCUCGGGCUGAGAGUGGGGGUGGGGGAAUUGAUAAGGGCCUGGCAAUAUCUGUUUGAGUUUUUUAAACCUACCAAUAAUAUUAAGACAAAUGUAAAGGAAAGAUAUAACCGGCUUAGGCGACGUCCGGGAAAGAAUGUGAACCCUGUAGUACUCAGCCAAUGAGAAACCAGGGGAGGGACUUGCGUACUAGGAGAUAAAUUAUUGGCGCCAAACUCCCCAGGUGUGCCUGCCCACCAGACACCCGAUCUUGCAAGACCGUUAUUAAAGCCUCGCUCCGCUGUUCUCUUGGUCUCCGUGUCCACUUAUUGAAUUUGGACCAGUGAGUGUGUUUCUCACAAUUUGGGGGCUCGUCUGGGAUCCUCUUGCCUGUGCGAGGUGGGGGCCCAAGCGGAGUGGGAAGACGCGUCCCGCCCGGCUUUGGGUGGCCCGCUGUGUCUGGGCAUCUCACCUUCGCAUGGAAGCCGAGGGGAGACCCGAGACUGUUGUGCGGAGACAGCGUGACCGACGCAGGGGAGAAAACACAGGCACCGCAGCAACCAGGCAACCUUGUGCACGAGCCAAGGUGGGAAAAUUGGGCUCUGAAAGGACUCCUCACCCAGACUCGCCCCGCUUGAGUUCUUUGGUCACUGCUUCUUCAGUCACUGCUUCCAGCCUAGAGACCUGGUGUUAGUAAAAUCCUGGAAAGAAGAUCGACUCCAGCCCAGCUGGGAAGGCCCCUACCAAGUGCUCCUGAUCACGGCGACUGCAGUGAAGACAGCUGAAAAGGGCAAGUCACAGGAAGCCCUAGAAUGAGAAGGAACUCCUGGUUAUCCUGUCAAACUGUUUAUUUCACUGUCUACUUCCAAAAAGGAUUGAGAAGAAUGACCAACAAUUACACAGAAUUAAACUGUUUAUUCACAGAUGACAAGGAAAUACAAUGAAGUGCUAAAAA